UACAGAGGUCUCAAGCGUUGUUCGGAUUCAUUGGGCGUAAAGGGUGCGUAGGCGGUAGGGUAAGUCUGGUGUGAAAUCCUGGAGCUUAACUUCAGAAAUGCACUGGAUACUGCCCUGCUAGAGGACUGGAGAGGAGAUUGGAAUUCACGGUGUAGCAGUGAAAUGCGCAGAUAUCAGGAAGAACACCCGUGGCUAAGGUGGCUCUCUAGUACGGUACUGACGCUGAGACGCGAAAGCGUGGGGAGCAAACAGG
rnacentral:rRNA from 1 species